rnacentral:tRNA from 1 species
GCCGGUGUAGCUCAGCUGGGUAGAGCGCCAGACUCAUAACCUGGAGGUCGAGGGUUCAAAUCCCUCCACCGGCA